UACAGAGGUCCCAAGCGUUGUUCGGAUUCACUGGGCGUAAAGGGUUCGUAGGCGGUGUGGCAAGUCGGGAGUGAAAUCUCCAGGCUCAACUUGGAGGCUGCUUCCGAAACUGCCGCGCUAGAGUGCGAGAGAGGCCAGUGGAAUUGCAGGUGUAGCGGUGAAAUGCGUAGAUAUCUGCAGGAACACCCGUGGCGAAGGCGGCUGGCUGGAUCGCAACUGACGCUGAGGAACGAAAGCUAGGGGAGCAAACAGG
rnacentral:rRNA from 1 species